UACGAAGGGGGCUAGCGUUGUUCGGAAUCACUGGGCGUAAAGGGCGCGUAGGCGGCCGAUCAAGUCGGGGGGUGAAAGCCUGUGGCUCAACCACAGAAUUGCCUUCGAUACUGUUUGGCUUGAGACCGGAAGAGGUUAGUGGAACUGCGAGUGUAGAGGUGAAAUUCGUAGAUAUUCGCAAGAACACCAGUGGCGAAGGCGGCUAACUGGUCCGGUACUGACGCUGAGGUGCGAAAGCGUGGGGAGCAAACAGG
rnacentral:rRNA from 1 species